rnacentral:rRNA from 1 species
UCAGCAGCCGCGGUAAAACGUAGGAGCCAAGCGUUAUCCGAAUUCACUGGGCGUAAAGCGUGUGCAGGCGGGCUCGUAAGUUGGAUGUGAAAUCUCCUGGCUCAACUGGGAGAGGCCGUUCAAUACUGUGAGCCUCGAGGGCAACAGAGGGAGGUGGAAUUCCCGGUGUAGUGGUGAAAUGCGUAGAUAUCGGGAGGAACACCAGUGGCGAAAGCGGCCUCCUGGGUUGCACCUGACGCUCAGACACGAAAGCUAGGGGAGCGAACGGGAUUAGAAACCCCGGUAGUCCUAGCCGUAAACGAUGUAGACUUGGUGUCGGCGGGGUAAAAGCCGUCGGUGCCGCAGCCAACGCGAUAAGUCUACCGCCUGGGGACUACGGCCGCAAGGUUAAAACUCAAAGGAAUUGACGGGGGCCCGCACA